GACGAACGCUGGCGGCGUGCCUAAUACAUGCAAGUCGAACGAGUGGCGGACGGGUGAGUAAUGUCUGGGAAACUGCCUGAUGGAGGGGGAUCACUACUGGAAACGGUAGCUAAUACCGCAUACCAUCGGAUGUGCCCAGAUGGGAUUAGCUAGUGGGGUGGGUAAAGGCUCACCUAGGCGACGAUCCCUAGCUGGUCUGAGAGGAUGACCAGCCACACUGGAGCUGGGACACGGUCCAUACUCCUACGGGAGGCAGCAGGGGGGAAUAUUGCACAAUGGGCGCAAGCCUGAGGCAGCCAUGCCGCGUGUAUGAAGAAGGCCUUCGGGUUGUAAAGUACUUUCAGCGGGGAGGCGUUACCCGCAGAAGAAGCACCGGCUAACUCCGUGCCAGCAGCCGCGGUAAGUC
rnacentral:rRNA from 1 species